rnacentral:lncRNA from 1 species
AUGUCCAGGCCCCAGUCAUGCAGAGAGUUUAAUCAGUCCCUACUGAUCUCCAAGAAUCUGAAAUGUAGCUGGAUAAGGACCCAGUCCAGCAAAGUACUUAAGGAUAUCCUCAAGUAAACAUAUGAUGAGCCCCAUUUUUAGCAGGAUUUAGCAAGAAGUGCUUUUUGGAGUGGAGCAUCUCGGAAGACGCUGCUUCUUGGAAGGGCUGUGUAAGACCAAGGUUCACCAGCACCAAAUGCAAUCUCAGUCCAAAUUGUCUGGUUGUCUUGCACUCAUCAAAGCAACUCUGCUCAACAGUAUUGCUUGCAGUGAUGGCUCCAUGCCUCAGGGGAGGCUGGUGAACUGUGACUUCUUCAUAAGUGCACAUUUGUGACUGCACACCUCUUAGUACGUUUGAGUUUCUUUUGCUGACUAUCAAAGAGACAACAAAAUAAUCUAGGAGUGGGCAGAGGAAUCUUCUGAGUCCUGCAGGACCCAGCAGCUGUGUUCGCUGUGUGACAUCUGGACACUUCAUCAGAUCUUCUGGCUUUGGAGUACCUUGAACCACGUGCAUCAGUGCUAUCCUAUGCUGAAAAGCACAAAGAGCAUCAGGAGACAAUGAGGGGGAAGGAAGCCCAUUGCCUGCCAUGGUAGGGUAUUCACUCCUUCCUCCAUCACGGACAUCUCUUUGGCUGUGUUGUGGCUAACGAAGAACAAGGCUGGGACUGUUAUUACCACAGAAUGGAAAAAAACAGGGCUUGAAGAUACCCAAGGAGGUAUGGUCAUUUAGUAUGGCCCCAUCUACCCAUCAGCCUGUAGCAGCAUCCACCACGAGCCCUGCCAUGGAGUCAGAGCCCUAAUGCCAGAAGGAUUUCAGGUGGAGUGAUGCUGCAGCUCCACGCCCUGCACACGGGAUGGAGAGCCGCCCGCCACCCACGCUGCGACAUGUGUUCCGCAACCUGAUGGCUGUUCAUAAAACCAGCACGUGGAACAGGAAAAUGCCGUCUGAUCCAAAACGCCCUGGGGUGUAUUAUGUCAAUGUCAUAUCCAUUAGGAAAGUACAGCGAGCGCGCCGAAUGGCUUCUUAUGCUCAGAGCCCGUUUCUAUUAUUCACAUCUGCUGUCAGAGCUGCAGCACGUACACAGCCCCAGCUUUGUGGCUGUCCAAACCUGCAGGAAACAAAAAUAGCUCCCAGCCUGGAGAGCUCUGAAAGCACAAGAGUGGGUGUACGGAGCAGCACAGCGCCCCAAUGA